AAGUCGUAACAAGGUUUCCGUAGGUGAACCUGCGGAAGGAUCAUUAUUGAAUGAACUUGGCGUGAUUGUAGCUGGUCCUCUCGGGGGCAUGUGCACAUCUGUCAUCUUUAUCUUUCCACCUGUGCACACUUUGUAGGUCUGGAAUAAAAAUUUCCGAGGCAACUCGGUCGUGGGGAUUGUUAUAUCAGCUUUCCUUGCAUUUUUCAGGUCUAUGUUUUCAUAUACACCAUAACAAUGUAAUAGAAUGUUUUUAUUGGGUCUUGGUUACCUAUAAAACUAUAUACAACUUUCAGCAACGGA
rnacentral:misc_RNA from 1 species